rnacentral:rRNA from 1 species
UAGGGAAUCUUCCGCAAUGGACGAAAGUCUGACGGAGCAACGCCGCGUGAGUGAUGAAGGCUUUCGGGUCGUAAAACUCUGUUGUUAGGGAAGAACAAGUGCUAGUUGAAUAAGCUGGCACCUUGACGGUACCUAACCAGAAAGCCGCGGCUAACUACGUGCCAGCAGCCGCGGUAAUACGUAGGUGGCAAGCGUUAUCCGGAAUUAUUGGGCGUAAAGCGCGCGCAGGUGGUUUCUUAAGUCUGAUGUGAAAGCCCACGGCUCAACCGUGGAGGGUCAUUGGAAACUGGGAGACUUGAGUGCAGAAGAGGAUAGUGGAAUUCCAUGUGUAGCGGUGAAAUGCGUAGAGAUAUGGAGGAACACCAGUGGCGAAGGCGACUUUCUGGUCUGUAACUGACACUGAGGCGCGAAAGCGUGGGGAGCAAACA